ACUGCUUCAGUACACGUGGACAACCUACCCUCCGGACGGGUAUAAACCCGGGAAACUGGGUAUAAUCCCCGAUAGAUCUCGGUCGCUGGAAAGCCCCGAGAUCGAAAGCUCCGGCGCCAGAGGAUGGGUCUGCGGCCUAUCAGGUAGUAGUGGGUGUAGCGUACCUACUAGCCUACGACGGGUACGGGUUGUGAGAGCAAGAGCCCGGAGAUGGAUUCUGAGACACGAAUCCAGGCCCUACGGGGUGCAGCAGGCGCGAAAACUUUACAAUGCCGGCAACGGCGAUAAGGGGACCUCGAGUGCCAGGUUACAAAUCUGGCUGUCGUGAUGCCUAAAAAGCAUUGCAUAGCAAGGGCCGGGCAAGACCGGUGCCAGCAGCCGCGGUAAAUACAAUA
rnacentral:rRNA from 1 species